GGCCAGCUCUAUGUUCGACCUGAAAGGCUUCCGUCACAGAGCUCAUCCUGCUGAAGGAAAACUUGGCAUUUACUGAACCGUGAGGCAGGCUCAGUCAGUGAACAUCUCAGUGGGUUGCAAUCAAAGAUGUGCCUUUCCGGAACCUGGAAGUGUAUUUUGCGAGUGGGGCCUCCCUUCUCUCAGCCAGCAUGAAGCAGUUGGCUCCCUUGUGCCCUGAGAACUUGCUGCUUUCUUCUUCCCACCUUGUGCCCUUGAGCAGAGCUGGACCCCAAGCCAAGCAGAAGUGUGCAGAUGACAAUCCACGCUGGGAAGGAGGGCACCGUGAGAGGGCGGGUGCCAUCAACAACCCUUCUGGGAGCCGCCGAACUUCUGUCCACACAAGCACGGUAGGCAGGAAAGCUACAGAAGAUGCUCAAAAGCCAAAAAGAGUACGUGGAUAUCGGUUAUCGUUGAAAUAGAACAGGACACGGAAAACAUGGCGGAAUGGAGGUCAUUCUCACUGGAGUUCCCAUGGGUGGAUUUGCAGUGGGAUUCUCCACCCAAGAAGCCUCCCUAGAAAACAGUCCCUUUCCCUUGUUGUAACUCCACAAAUAAUAAUCCAGAUGUUCAUGGUGGUGACACAGCCA
rnacentral:lncRNA from 1 species